CGGAGCGCCGCGGCUCUGGGGCUGCGCCGGGGCUGAGGGAGCCGCGCGGGCAGCCCGGAGAAGAGGGGCAGCGGAAAGAGCUCGUGGAUGCAAACACGAGUCUGCAAACUUCAUUAGUAACACAGACACACACGCACAGGCACACAAAGUGGAUGGCUAGGGAAAAUUAAAAAAAAAAAAAAAAAAAAAAAAAAAAAAAAGGAGGGGGCAGACUUGCUCUUUUAACUGUUCGGGAACUUAAAAGCAACGGGUCCAAAUUAAUUAUUCCGUCAGGGAGAUAUUUCUUUCUGGCUGGCUGUUUGUCUUUCUGCCUGCCUUUCUCUUUCCCUCUCUUUUAAUGGGGAUUUAAUGAAAAAUAUAUGUUUGCAAUGGGGUAAUGAACGUACAAUGCAACACCUCUGUAAAAGGAAAGAUACUAUAUCUGAGAUAGGGGGUAUCUGCCCAUACCGAGAUAAAGAGGAAUUUAUUUACAAGCACACGCGCACGCAUGCACGCACCCCGCAUCAUAUUUACACACAUAUACAUACAGCCUGCAUGCACCCAGCGCACAAAGCACAGCGCACUUUAUUUGGUGGCCGCCAUGUAAUUGCUUGGAGAGAUCAACAAAGUAAAAAGCAAAGCCUUCCGGAAUAUACGUCAACUGUAAACAGCCUCAUCAAAAUGAAGUAAAUAGCAGCCCAGGGAAGGGGGCUCUUUGCAUGCGAUACAUGUGUCAUGCAUAUAACAUGCAUCGUCUUCCACUUUCCCUACAAGUAUUGAUAUUUUAUUAAUAUUUCAUCUCCUAUAUUUUACUAGACACCUUUCCUUCUUCUUCCUUUUUUUUUUUCUUUUUUUUUUUCUUUUUUUCUUUUUUUGGUGUGUGGGGGGGAUUAUUAUGAUGAGAACUGGGGUGAAACGUACAGAUGUCAUUAUAAAUCGGAAUCUUCUACAAAUAUUUUCUUGCGUGGGAUUUAAGAAGAUUGCUUCUCAUUUGAAAAUCUAAUUAUCUUAACCUAAUACUGCAGAUGUGAAUAUGACUGACACUUUCAUUAAAAGAUAAUUAACUAAAACUAGGAAUAGACAUACUUUAAAAUACCCCCUACCGAAGAUAAAAACAUGACUAUUCAAAGAGCAUCCGAACGCACCGCAGGAACACGUGCGGCUUUUCGAUAAUGCUAUUCCAGCCAUGGGUAGACCAGUACUGGUCACUAAGCCUCAGCUACACGCCAGGGAUAUUUACAGCAGUGAGGACCCCGCGCAGGUGAACCAUAACCUCAGCACUGACAUGCCUUUGAAGUUCGCCAUUCCUGAGCCACACGUCAAAAGGUUCUCGUAGGCCUUAAGCGCCAGAAGCCAGCAGGAAGGUUUGAUCGCAGUCUUCCAUUAAGGGCACGCACCCACAACAAGGAACCAGCCCAAAUCCAGGUGGCAGAAAGCUGCACCUCUCCUGGCCCUGAACCCCCUGUGCCAGAGGAAGGGUUUGCGAGUGCUGGAACAACUCUAAGAGGAAAAUCCCCACCUGAUGAUGAAUGAAGGCUGCCCCAAAGGAAGCACAGGCCAGUGUCAGGGAACUGAGCUGCUAAAAGCAGAUGUUUAAGGUCAGAGUGAAGGUCCUGAUAGUUUUGGAGGGGGGGGGGAUAGGGUCUUUGGAAAGGGAAGGAAAAAAAAGACAUAAAAAAUGGGCAGCCUGAAAGUGCGGCUGCUCCAGGGCCAGAGCCAACAGAUCAGGGAGCGUAGAGCAGCCCUACGCCGACCCACAGAAACCUCACCUCAAACUUCAGGGAAGCCUCCAACUUCGGGAACAAUCAGGGGCACCUGAGGGUUCUGAAGAGGAACUUUAUUCCUUUUUCAGACCUCACCUAAGGCACCACACCAGCUCAUCAGUGACCAAAAAUCAGAGAGCACAUGUACACAGCUCUGCAUAAGCCCCGCUCCCUUUGAAGGCAGCAAGGCAACCAGCGGUAUUCUGCAUCCUUGUUUACAGGGUGGGAAAAAAAAAUGCAAACAAAGAGGGAAAAUGAAAUCUCUGCCACUGGCUCCUACUUAUCAGUUGGAGGGGGUAUGAUGGAAAGGGGCUUUUAGGCUUAAAUUGUAGACGGAACGGGACUGUGAGAUAGAAGGAUGCAUUGUCCAUUCAAGCGCAUGCCUGAAGGAUGGCAACACAUUUCCUAAGACUGGAGACAAUUAAAUACAAUGUGAUGAAGAAACACCUGAGAACAAUACAUCUAUUUCAAAUUCAAGCGAAGAAACACGUAUACUUAAUGUCACAGAAGAAUAAGGAAACGAAGAUAAUUUAGUUUUAAAGUCGUCCCCCCGCACCUCCCCCACCACCUCCUUUAUUCCUGGUGCUUUUUUCCUGGUGAAACAUCAAUAUCAUUAAUGUCAUUAAUGUCAAAACACCAAACGUCAGAACAGUCAAGUCAUUCUUUUUGGGCUGCAGAUUUUUUUUCCCUUUCUCUCUUCUUGGAGGGGGUUAUAGGUUUAUGGUGUUCUUGAGUUACAGCUGAAGGAACAAAGGGGGGGGGGGGUGGGGGGGAGGACACAGGCAGGAAUUGCGAGAGGAGAGUCCACAUUUUUCAGGGUUUCUUCUGUCACUGUUUACUGUCCUUCCCAACGUUUCAAAUCUCCUCUCUCUUUCUCUCUCUUUCCCUUUCUCUCUCCCUAAAAAUAGUAAGCUAUCGGAGGGGGGGGGGGGGGUUAUGGGGGGAGAGGGGAAAAAAAAAAAAAAAGGCACUACGGGAUGUUAACAGUUUAGAAGAAACCCGGGGAUCGCCACGUAGCUAGGAAAAAUCGAAGAAGGUUAAUUCCGGGAGGCAGCAGCAGCAGAUGCGAAUAAGGUAUAGAGUCCUAAAUAAAAAUGUGCCUGAUCCAAAUAGGAAGCAAUAUGCAGGAUAACUUAAAGAAAAAAAGAAAAAGUGAACUCACUGUAUUGCUGGUCACUUCCAUGUGGGAAUAAACCGUUCAACAUGGAGUAGUAUAGGUACCUUUUUAAUGCUGAAAUGGGCAUGCUAAUUGUGAACUAUGCGGUCAGAAGCUCCUUCUAAAAUAUUCAGUAACUUAUUUACUGGAAUUUAACAAGCUGUGUACUUCAAAGCUUCUUUCACCUCUAAUUAAGUGCAUAAACUCUGUGAAUCGUAUUGGCAACUUGAGAUUUGGCACAGCAGCAGCAGUGCUGAAGCAGCCCCCACCGCUAGGAAAGGUACAAACACAGGCAAGUGACCUGUGAUGGGCUGAGAGACCUCGCUUACCAGGAUUUGCUCACGGUUAUGCUUCUGGCAACUGACAUUUCCAUUUUACUCAAAGCUUCUACCUUUGUGUCAUCAGACAAAGCCCCAUGAGUGGUGGCAGAGCAAACUGUAGCCUUCAUUCUCAAGUUUGAAGAGGAAAAGUUAUUUACAUGCCUAAAUCGCAGAACAUGAUGUUCAAAGGUCACUUUCUGUUACUCAUUGUUAUAAACCACUAAGUUUUCCAAAAGCUCUAUAAGGAAAAGGCACAUAGUUUGGGCAGAAACAUGUAAUUGGUUGUUUUCUUCUUUUAUUUUCUUUUCUUAUUGUAUGAUCUGAUUUUUGUACUACCAGAGGAAUGUCGAAGAUGAGAUGUUUCUGUCGUUCCGUACCAUGAACAAUUGCUUAAAGGGACCAUCAGAGACUGCAAGACAAAUCUAUGACCCUCCUUAAGAUUUUUAUGUUCUGAAGAGGAAUGACUUUUAAUUGGUUAGGAUUUUAGAGUUUAUGAUGUAAGGAAAAGUACUGAUUCCUGUAAUGACUGAUCCUUUACUGUUUUUAUUAGACUUUCAACUGAGCAUUUCUUAAACUUUCUUCUUAUGAAUUUAGACAAAUAUUUAAUUGUUUUAUUGCUGUAAUGCCAUUUCCCCCCACCCCAUUUUAGACAUAUUUUCCUGAAUGUGAGCCUGAAUUUAGUGACAAGCAGUCUGAUUUCCAGAAAUGUAUUGUUAUCAGUAAAAGUACUCCAUACCAAAAUGUGUGAAUGGAGAUGUUAAGAGAAAGCACAAAUAAUGCCUUUAUUCAUUACGAGAUGAAGCCCUGAGAAGUCAAGGUUAUUUAAUGGAAAUGAAUAAAUGCAGCUUGAAAUAUCUUUAUUUUCCAAACUGCAAGAGCAACUCAAACAAUAAGGAUAGCAUAUAAAGAAACAAACAACAAAGUCAGUUGAUUUCCUUAAAAAAUAUUUGGAACUUAAAAAAAAAAAAGAGGGAAAGCCGUCAUUUGACAUGGUGAUUAGGGUAGACUGAAGGACUCGGCUCAGAGGCUGCUUAUGCUGCUAUUGCACAGCAAAACUGUGUAGGGCAUUUAAUCUCUCUUAGUUUUCCUGUUUGUAAGUAACAAGCUGAUAAUGCUCACUUCAGUCUAGUGUUGUGCAAUAUUCAGAUGUUUCACAAUACAAUAGAAAAGUGUGUCACAGUGUACUUAAAAGUUGCCUGUUAAACUUCAUGUUUUUGAGAUGAAAGAAAAUUUCUGCUAUGCAUCUUGAAAGAGCUCAUUCCUUAAGGUGGUGGUGGCAGCUUUAAGCUUUUCUGAGAUAUAUUUUAUUUUUGUUUGUUUUUUUAACUGCUUAAUGGGCUAAUUUUUGGUAUCAUCUCUGGAAUAUGUAUGUCUCCUAUGACUGAAAGGAAGGAUGGUUGAUGCAAAUGAAAAAAGUCUCUUUUAGGAGAUCCUGUGAUCAGUAGAAUUCUGUCACCAUCACAAAAACAUACUUAGCAUGGCAUAUAUUUCUCAUUUCAGCUAAUAAACCUAACAUCUUUGUCUGGACAACAUCUCAAGCCUCUUUGCUAAAUGAUAUUACUGGAAGACUCCUUAUCAUUAAAGGAAUUGAGAUGGAGUCAGAUAAUAUGUAAAUUACAUAGCUUUUUCCCAUAAAUAAGCAAAUUGAUGUUUCCCAGUGUAGUAAAACACUUCUUAUUGGUACUGAUAAUACCACAGUCUUGAAGAGGUUAUCUAAAAAAGAUAAACUGAGAAAAAUUGGAUGCAACAUAUUUUCAAGUGGACAUCUACAUAAAUGUCUUCAGAUCAGGACUGUGUUUCUGAAGUUACUCUCCUGAUUAUCUCCACUUACUGUGCUAUGUUUAACACAGUGUUAAUGUCUUCUCAUGGGCAAGAACUAGCUUUCUUUUGGAGAACACUAAGCUGAGAUAUAUUGUCUGGAUACUGACGUCAGUACUCCAUUCUCAAACAGAUAUUAGGUUCAUGGAACCAUAUGAAGUGAUCCUGAAGUGAGGGCAGUAGGACUUCAACACUAAUUCUAAAGAGCCUGGUCAUAUUCUGUUUGUUACACUACUUGUUAUUCCUAAACACAUUUCUCAGAUCUGUAGGAAAUGGUCAUGGGCUCUUUCUGAGAAAGGCUUGAGCAGAGGUAGAUACCACCAAGCUAGAGUUAUUUAGAAAGAAACAAUUCUUUCCCCUUGGUUUGUACUUGAGCAACAAGGACAGUGCCCAGAAUAUUUUGCAUUGUAUUUCUAGCAUAACCUAAAUUUUUCUUCCGCAAUAUGGGCAUAUUAGCCACCCACAUUUCAAUUAUCUGGGACUACAGGUACAAUAGCUUAUUUGCUGUAGAUUGUCUCAUAUUCUAUAAAUAGAGAAAGAGAAUAUUUCUUGACAGAACAAGACAAAACUUGGAUCACUGUGAAUCUCCUCUCAAUAAUUUGGAUGACUGCACAUUUUGUACUGCAUGUAAGGAUAUCAGCAGGGAAUUAGUGAAAGUUGUACAAAACCUAUAUAAAACUAAAAGUUAUCUCUACAGAAAAUAUUGGAAAUACUAUUGAUGACUACUCUCAAAAUGGGCCCAUAGUAGUGCAGUUAUUUUUUCUCUUGAGUAUUCUAAGCCAUGCCCUAGGUUUGCCUAUAGCUUUAUGUUCUUGCUGUGGAGCCCUGAAAGGUUUUCCGGCAUUGAACAGUAGUCAGAGUCUAUGACAUGAGAGAUAUUAAAAAUAAUAAUAAUAAUAAAUCAUUUGUGCCUGAAACUUCCAGCAUUUAGGGUAGGAGAGGCAACUAAUCAAAGACAGAACCAAAAUGGUUUAUAAGAACAUCCAAAUUAGGAAUGCAGAAUUUUACUUUUGAGAUCAUCUGCAAAAUGACAAAGAUGUCCUUUACCUGCAUCAUUACCAGUAUUAAGCACCAGCUCACAGCUGAAGUACAUGUCAUAUCACUGAUACAUGCUUGUCAGAUGCCAUCGAAUAUAUUGAAUCUUACAGAAAAAAAAUGCAAAACUAUUAUAUGAUAACUGUAUUAUUAUAUGAUACAAAAGUAUGUGUUAGGAUUGCUGGUAUUGUAAAGAUUAAAUGAGAGAGUAAUCCAUUAACAUAACCUUUCAUGUAUCAUCUACCUUUAUUUAAAUCCAGAGUGGUUUAAGUUCUUAAGGGGGCAUCUUUUGGACUCAUUCAUUAAUGGUGAAAAUGACUAAUUUGUGUAUAGUCUAAUCAUGUUACUAUUUCAAGUUACUUUAAUUGCAGCACUUAGUAAGUUCGUGAAGCAGAAUUUCAUUCCAUCUGGUGAUUACUUAUUUACUUACAUUAAUCAUACAGUCAGAAAACAAGGAAUUAAAAAAAAAAAAAAGGAGCUACUGAAAACUUGAUUGAUCAUACUGGAGAAAUUAAUGUUAAUAAAUGUGUCCAUAUGGAACUUGAAAAUUUCAACACCCUUCAAGAAAUUAAUGUAGAAAACAAACAGGGAACUGCAAAUGCUGUGAUUUCCCUAAGAAACUUAAUUUUCCUACUAUUUGAACUAGCUAAUAUAUCAAAAGUAGACAAAUAUAAAAAAUAGCUAUUGAAGCUAUUUACAUUUUAUUAUUUUUUCAAUUCUUGUAUUGUAUAUACUUACUGAGUUUGCUUUCACUCUGCUGUGAAUCUCUGAGACAAGCUAGAUACUUGUGGGGACCUAUUAUGUUAGCUUAGGGAUAAAAACAGUGCUCCCACUUGGUCAUAUUAGGUCCUUCAGUAAACUAUUUUCAGGCUUGAACAGGUGCAUGACUGACCUGAGGAAGAGGUACGUUAAACAUUUUAGAAGUCUGUUACUUUCCAAGUCAUUAGUCCUAUUCUUCUGACGUCUCUAAAAUGCCCUAAAGCAAUCUACAGAUCAUUACCCUCUAACAGAUGACUUUUAGAAUUCUAUUCUCCAUCCACAACAAUUAUACAGAUGGACCUCUAUGUAGUGUAGUAUGACCAUCCUUGUCUGCUGUUUCAAACGUGGAAGCCAUUUUGUAUUCUUUAUAACUUGGUUGGUUGCUAAUAUAUCAAAAUCCAUAGUGAUUUAUACUGGCACAAAGUAUCUGUUUACAUCACAAGCAGCAGUUUUGCUGUACUGUUAUGGACGUUUAGACUACACAAAACAACAGGUUGCAAUGCUGUGCUUUCAGAGCUGCAGUGGUAUGUGAGUGGGCACAUGUGCACAGCAGAUCACUAGUUAUUGCAGCACAGGCAGCCUCUGCUUCUGCUAUAUAUUUUCACAACUGAUAGGCUUUUUUUUUUUUUUUUUUUUUGUUUGGAGGUUGUCAUAUGGUAUAACACUUUUACUAGUUGACUCCUCCUACUUUUCUUCAAACCACAUCCUGAUUUUUGGCCUCAGAAACCAAACAUAUGCACAGCUUGCAGAACAACACAUGAUAUUGUUUCUGUAUAACAUCAUACCAGCUGGGAUAUAAAUUCUUACAGACAAUUUUAUGCGAAUGAAAAAUACCUACAUUAAGACAUUUUCCAUAGCUAUGCAAUAUAUACCACAGUAGAGCAUAUGGUCUACAGUCAGAGAUCCUCACUUAUAACUAUAACAAAAGCCCCAAGUCAGCCUCAGAUCUUCAGACAGUGUAAUUUUUAAUAGAUCAUUCUAAUUUCUUUCUAUUUUUUUCAUACUUCUUCUAUUGUGUUUUGGAUUUCUGGAAUCUAACAUCAGCUAUUUUGCUGUAUCGUUGAAGACCCUUAAUCUUUUUGAUUUAUCCAGUGUGGAGCACCAUAAAGCUAUUAUUUAACUAAAAAGCAACAAAUAUUUGGUGAAACUCUAAGUUGUAUCAUAAUCUGAAGAUAUAUCAAUAGCAAGAACUUAGAAUUUGUAGGAAAUAUAUUUCAACAUUUAUUUUCACUAUUAGAAAACUGUUCUAUAUCUGAUUUGUCAGUUUUCCCCAGAUUUUUUUUUUGUGGGUGGAGUACUUAUUUUAUUCUCCUUUCAUGAUAAAUAAGAUUUGGAUAUAAAUAUUUAUCACAUGACCUACAAACUUUAACCAAGUCACUCCCAAUACUCUUUUUCGAUAAUCAGUUAAUCACAGUAAAUAAUUUUCUCCUGCUCUCCAGUUAUGCAACUUUUUAUUUCCUUCUACCGUAUCUGUUAAAAUAUGGACAGCAGAACUAUGGGAAAUAUUCCAACAGUUUCAUCAGGAUUGAAAGAUCACAUUAGCUCUGUUCAUGCAGUUUUGCAGUAGGUACUCAUGUUGAAUUGCUAGUCCACUAUGGCCCAUAAAUUCAUGCAGAGCUGAUGCAUUUUGAGGCAAUAUACCAUUGUUUUGAGGGGUGGAAUUCUUUUGUAUUGAUGCAUAAGCUUGUAUUCAUCUCUUCUAAAAUGCUCUUUAAUUUUUUUUAAAUUAUUAUUAUUUUUAAUGUUCCUAACUUGCCAAGAGAUCUCUUCUUUCCUGAGAUCAUCAUUAUGUACUACUCACGUGCCUUUCAUCCUUAACACGGUAAUUUCUAUAUGCACCUCCAAUGAGGUGACCUCAGAGCUCAAAAUAUUCUCAGCUUCAGAGCUGAGAAUACUGAGCAGCACUGGGCCUAGAGCUGAUCCCCGAUGAAUAACAUUAAAAAGAGUCAAUAACAAUUCUCAUUUUAAGGUAUAUUUUGAUCACCUGUUGACCAACUUUUAAUGAAUUGAAAUUAUGAAUAUUAAUGCAAUGUAGUAGAUUCUUUUUCUUAAUAAAAAUAUCAUAAAAUAAACUUUCAUUGUGCCUUUAUCAAUUAAACCAUCAGAAGAUGCAUAUCCCAAAGAUAGAUAAAAAAAUUAGUUGGCAAUGUAGAAAAGAAAACUCUAAGAAUUACUGUUCUUCAAUUUGCUCUGCACAUGUAACUUCAUUUCAUCUUUGUGAAACAGUUCAUAUAAUAAUACUGUUCAUAUUUCAGAACUGGAGAGAUUCUGAUUUUUCUGACAUACAUAUAUCUUGUAAAACAUGAAGGGGCUUUUUGAAUUUAUUGAUGUUUUCUUUAAGAAGCUUACAAAACUGGAGUUGGG
ensembl:lncRNA